rnacentral:rRNA from 1 species
GAUGAACGCUGGCGGCGUGCUUAACACAUGCAAGUCGAACGGAAAGGCCCAAGCUUGCUUGGGUACUCGAGUGGCGAACGGGUGAGUAACACGUGGGUGAUCUGCCCUGCACUUCGGGAUAAGCCUGGGAAACUGGGUCUAAUACCGGAUAGGACGAUGGUUUGGAUGCCAUUGUGGAAAGUUUUUUCGGUGUGGGAUGAGCUCGCGGCCUAUCAGCUUGUUGGUGGGGUAAUGGCCUACCAAGGCGUCGACGGGUAGCCGGCCUGAGAGGGUGUACGGCCACAUUGGGAAUGAGAUACGGCCCAGACUCCUACGGGAGGCAGCAGUGGGGAAUAUUGCACAAUGGGCGCAAGCCUGAUGCAGCGACGCCGCGGGGGGGAUGACGGCCUUCGGGUUGUAAACUCCUUUCGCUAGGGACGAAGCGUUUUUGUGACGGUACCUGGAGAAGAAGCACCGGCUAACUACGUG